UCCCUACUGAGGGACCUCUCCCUACUCUC
rnacentral:piRNA from 1 species